rnacentral:rRNA from 1 species
GACAGAGGGUGCAAACGUUGUUCGGAAUUACUGGGCGUAAAGCGCGUGUAGGCUGCUCGGAAAGUCGGAUGUGAAAGCCCUGGGCUCAACCUAGGAAGUGCAUUCGAAACUUCCGAGCUGGAGUGCUGGAGAGGAAGGCGGAAUUCUCGGUGUAGAGGUGAAAUUCGUAGAUAUCGAGAGGAACACCGGUGGCGAAGGCGGCCUUCUGGACAGCUACUGACGCUGAGACGCGAAAGCGUGGGGAGCAAACAGG